rnacentral:rRNA from 1 species
UACGAAGGGGGCUAGCGUUGUUCGGAGUUACUGGGCGUAAAGGGCGCGUAGGCGGCCUGUUUAGUCAGAUGUGAAAGCCCUGGGCUCAACCCGGGAUGUGCAUUUGAUACUGGCGGGCUUGAGGACCGGAGAGGAUAGUGGAAUUCCCAGUGUAGAGGUGAAAUUCGUAGAUAUUGGGAAGAACACCAGUGGCGAAGGCGGCUAUCUGGACGGUUACUGACGCUGAGGCGCGAAAGCGUGGGGAGCAAACAGG